rnacentral:rRNA from 1 species
GAUGAACGCUGGCGGCGUGCUUAACACAUGCAAGUCGAACGAAACACCUUAUUUGAUUUUCUUCGGAACUGAAGAUUUGGUGAUUGAGUGGCGGACGGGUGAGUAACGCGUGGGUAACCUGCCCUGUACAGGGGGAUAACAGUCAGAAAUGACUGCUAAUACCGCAUAAGACCACAGCACCGCAUGGUGCAGGGGUAAAAACUCCGGUGGUACAGGAUGGACCCGCGUCUGAUUAGCUGGUUGGUGAGGUAACGGCUCACCAAGGCGACGAUCAGUAGCCGGCUUGAGAGAGUGAACGGCCACAUUGGGACUGAGACACGGCCCAAACUCCGACGGGAGGCAGCAGUGGGGAAUAUUGCACAAUGGGGGAAACCCUGAUGCAGCGACGCCGCGUGAGUGAAGAAGUAUUUCGGUAGGUAAAGCUCUAUCAGCAGGGAAGAAAAUGACGGUACCUGACUAAGAAGCCCCGGCUAACUACGU